GAUGAACGCUGGCGGCGUGCCUAAUACAUGCAAGUCGAGCGAACAGACGAGGAGCUUGCUCCUCUGACGUUAGCGGCGGACGGGUGAGUAACACGUGGAUAACCUACCUAUAAGACUGGGAUAACUUCGGGACACCGGAGCUAAUACCGGAUAAUAUAUUGAACCGCAUGGUUCAAUAGUGAAAGACGGUUUUGCUGUCACUUAUAGAUGGAUCCGCGCCGCAUUAGCUAGUUGGUAAGGUAACGGCUUACCACGGCAACGAUGCGUAGCCGACCUGAGAGAGUGAUCGGCCACACUGGAACUGAGACACGGUCCAGACUCCUACGGGAGGCAGCAGUAGGGAAUCUGCCGCAAUGGGCGAAAGCCUGACGGAGCAACGCCGCGUGAGUGAUGAAGGUCUUCGGAUCGUAAAACUCUGUUAUUAGGGAAGAACAAAUGUGUAAGUAACUAUGCACGUCUUGACGGUACCUAAUCAGAAAGCCACGGCUAACUACGUG
rnacentral:rRNA from 1 species